AGUGAACGCUGGCGGCGUGCCUAAUACAUGCAAGUCGAACGGAGUGGCGCACGGGUGAGUAAUAUAUAGCUAAUCUGCCCCUUGCUGGAGGACAACAGUUAGAAAUGACUGCUAAUACUCCAUAGCAAGGGAUGAGACUAUAUCGUAUCAGCUAGUCGGUGGGGUAACGGCCUACCGAGGCGAUGACGCGUAACUGGUCAGAGAGGAUGAUGAGUAGAAUUGGAACUGAGACACAGGCCAAACACCUACGGGAGGCAGCACUAGGGAGUAUUGCGCAAUGGGGGAAGCCCUAACAGAGCAACGCCGCGUGGAGGAUGACACUUUUCGGAGCGUAGACUCCUUUUGUUAGGGAAGCGGUACCUAACGAAUAAGCACCGGCUAACUCCGUGCCAGCAGCCGCGGUAAUAC
rnacentral:rRNA from 1 species